rnacentral:lncRNA from 1 species
AAAACUACUAUGGGAUUCUAUUUGUCACCUCAAGACUUUCCAACACUUACAAUCAUAGCAUACUACACGCAUGCUCUCCAACAAAUACUAUCAACAAUCAUUUCUACACUACUAUUCACUAUCUAGUGCAAAAAGAAGAAGGAAAGAAAAGUAUGAAACUUAUCAAAGAAGGAAAGAGAAAGGAGGAAAGAAGAGAACGUGUGAGUGCAACAAAAAGGUGAAAGAAACAUCAAUUACUGUUACAGCACGCCCCUUCCUUCAAACUCUGCGGCCACCUACUCACAGUCAUGCUAUAGUACAAAGUAGCGGUCUUUCAGCCGCACACCUUAUACCUAAUCCUAUUCCUUCACUUGUAAGCUCUCUUAUGGAAUUAAGAUAGUCAAGUAGCCAACUUCACUUAAAAAAAUACAACACCAGCCAUAAUUCUUUUCCUUCUUUUAGGCGCACCAAGGUUCAGAGAGGGAGGGUUGUUUCUUUUAACUCCAGCCUUGAUUUCGAAGAGGUAAGUUGUAGCUUGAACUUCCCCAUUCUUCCAUAGUUCACCUGCAUUCGUUAAGGAAUCAUUUUUAUUUCAGUUAUUCUCCUUCUGAAAUCAAUAGCAGCAGCCACCAAACACCAAACAAUUACAAGGUAAUUGCUAAACUCAGUUAUUCUAGUCAAUGUUACAUGCUCAUACCCAUCAAGGCAUCUUUUAACAAAAAAAUACUGAGUUCAUAAAUGAGUCUAUAUACUUAAGGGGCUUAGCAAUCACAAAGUCAGUAAGAACUCUUAUGAUAUAGAAACAACUACAUGCUUAGUUUAAUCUCUUGCAUAAUCGAAAAUAGGAAUCAAGAUGAUUUAUGGCCUGCACCAAAUUGGAAAAACAACUAGGCGUCGCGAACCAUGUACAGAUAUGCAAUAGAGCCUCCCAGCAACAUAUAUGCAAUAAUAAAAUGGCAGCAAGAAGUGAGUGACGUAUACAAAACAAAUCCCUAUUAUACUGUAGAAAUAAGUUCGAACUUAGCUUUGCCUUGAAUGAUGCUGGCUCGCCGGAGUUCGAGCAGGGGCAGCGAUGGUUCAGAAGCCGGAGCAGCGGCUUCAGCAAGAUAGUAUCUUGCUGAAGAAUGGGGAGAGCGGCGCCAGGGACAAACGGCGACCGCUAGUCGCUGGGUUUACAGACCCAACAACGACGACUGAUCUGCUACAACACGGGGAAGAGAGGAGCAGUCGAAUUUGUUUCCGGUUGAGUAAUUUAGCGUCGGCCUCGCCGGAUUUUCAGAUUCGAGGUGACGGCGCUGCGAUUUCAGAGAAAGAGCCAAGGGCACGACGACUCCCAACGACCCUCGCCGAUUCUGAACCAGCAGCAGCGUAGCUGAACCGAGAGGGGACGACGCCGGGGUUAGACACGGAGACAGCCAACGCUGGAUGGAGCUGGCGGAAGUUGAACGGCCGGGGAAGGAGAAGCCGACUGGAGUUGAAAGGGAAGGCCGAUCUGAUUUUGGGGGAGAAAACCCGUUUGAAACUUCAAGGGAGAAUUGGGGCUUUGCUUUUCCUUCGUGGAAGAGACGAGGAGCGAGGCGGGCUGCUGGAGAUCAGACCAGCGACCUCGAUUCCGGGCAAAGCAGCUGCAACUCCGGGCGGCGGCGUUACCUCAGCAGCGGCGACGUCCGGCGAUAGAGCUUCCACGCGUGUCGGCGGACGGCGGCGGUUGCACCAGAUCUUCACCGAUAUUAGAGGCAUCGACCACGCCGGUUGAGAGAAGCGGCACUGGAGUUUUAGAGCCUCGGAAACAGCGGCCUGCUUCGCCGGAGAAGAUCCGCGACGGCGGCGAUUUGAGAAAUGAAGGAGUUAGGGUUCAAUUCCUGAUUUUGAUUGAGCAUAACUUGAGUAGAGAGAAGACAAGGCCGUUGAAGGCGUAGGCUUCGCCGGAUUAUCAGGAGCCGCCGCCGCGACUGCGACAAUCGACGAACGGCGACAGAUUUGGGCAUGUGCCUGUGAACGGAACCAAGCGAGAGAGGGAGAGGUUUGCUGCGAGUGUGUGUGUAAUUAGAGAGAGGAAGACCGAUUGAUGAGAGAGAGAAAUGGGCUGAUUGGAAUUGGGCCUUUAUUUUCUUAAUUAUGGGCCAUUAUUUUAUUUCUUUCUGUUAGGUCAGUUUAUUUAUUUCAGAUGGGCCGCAUUCUUGGACCAGUAUUAAUAGAAAUGGGCUGAUCUUUUUAAGAGCUGUAUAUUUAAGCUGGGCCAGAGUUAGAAUGGACUGUAUGAUUAGAUGGUUUCCAGGCCCAGUUCCUUAUCUAUUUAUUUGGGCUGUCCUAUGUUGCUCCCUUUAAAUAAUGAGGUUGCCUUAUUAUUUUAUUCUAGUUCGAUUAAAGACUAGUCUAGAUUUGUAUUAAUUGGAUUCUAGCUAUUUAUUAAUUUAGGUACGAGGUUAUUAAUUAGUAAAUAGGGUUAGCAAACCUAAUGAGAUGAGUGGAUUAAUUAAGAUUAAUAACUCAAUCUCAUAAGACGAGCUGUAAUCAUAUAGUUUGGAUUAUUAUUAGAAUUUUUUUCAGAUUAUUAUCCCAGAAUAAUAAUUAAAGGAAUAUGAGUCAUGCAUAUUUAUUUUACGCAUUCUCAUUUAUUUGAGAAUUUUCAUCGAGCUAAGGUUUGACCUUAUGUUCUCGCAUUCAAGGUUAAGCGCAAGAGUAAGAGCUAGUCAAUGAGUUACUGAACUGUAGCAAAGCUUCACUAUCAGGU